rnacentral:rRNA from 1 species
AUUGAACGCUGGCGGCAGGCCUAACACAUGCAAGUCGAGCGGAUGAAGGGGGCGUGCUCCUGGAUUCAGCGGCGGACGGAUGAGUCAUGCCUAGGAAGGUGCAUGGUAGUGUGAGAUAACGUUCGCAAACGGGCGCUAAUACCGCAUACUGCCUGCAGGAGACAUGGGGGGAUCUUCGGACCUCACGCCACCAGACAAGCGUAGGUCUGAUUAGCUAGGUGGUGGGGUAAAGGCCUCCCAAGGCGCCGCUCCGUAACUGGCCUGACAGCAUGAUCAGGCACCCUGGAAUUGAGACACGGUCCAGACUCCCACGGGAGGCACCAGUGGGGAAUAUUGGCCCAUGCGCGAAAGCUUGAUCCAGCCCUGCCGCGUGUGUGAAGAACGUCUUCGCAUUGUAAAGCACCUUAAGUUGGGAGGAAGGCCAGUAAGUUAAUCCCUUGCUCUUUUGACGUUACCAACAGAAUAAGCACCGGCUAACUUCGUG